AUAGCUGUUGUGUCACUUCCUCAUGCUGACAUAUUUACUAGAAGGGUGAAAUUAAUAGCCUUCUAGUAAGAGUGGCAGUUGAAGGGAAGGGCUCAU
ensembl:miRNA MIR628 microRNA 628